rnacentral:rRNA from 1 species
UCUGGUGAUGAUAACAUAGAGGUAAUACCUGUUCCCAUCCCGAACACAGAAGUCAAGCUCUAUUGUGCCGAAAAUAUUUGCGGGUUACCCUGUUGAGAAGAUAGGUUGUUGCCAGAUU